rnacentral:misc_RNA from 1 species
AGCAGCCGCGGUAAUUCCAGCUCCAAUAGCGUAUAUUAAAGUUGUUGCAGUUAAAAAGCUCGUAGUUGAACUUCAGGCCUGUCCAGAUGGUCCGCCUUAAUUGGUGUGUACUGUCCUUGGGUGGGUCCUACCUUCUGGCGAAGCGGCAUGGCCUUAAUUGGUUGUGUUGGGGAACCAGGACUUUUACUGUGAAAAAAUUAGAGUGUUCAAAGCAGGCAAAUAUGCUCGAAUACAUUAGCAUGGAAUAAUGGAAUAGGACGAUGGUUCUAUUUUGUUGGUUCUAGGACCGCUGUAAUGAUUAAUAGGGAUAGUUGGGGGCAUUAGUAUUCAAUUGUCAGAGGUGAAAUUCUUGGAUUUAUUGAAGACUAACUACUGCGAAAGCAUUUGCCAAGGAUGUUUUCAUUAAUCAAGAACGAAAGUUAGGGGAUCGAAGACGAUCAGAUACCGUCGUAGUCUUAACCAUAAACUAUGCCGACUAGGAAUCGGGCGAUGUUGACAAAAUGACUCGCUCGGCACCUCA